rnacentral:sRNA from 2 species
UUACAUUGUUGAUAACUUUUAACGCAUGGAAAUGAGGUGCAAAUCCUCUGCUGUGCCGCAACCGUGAAUUUUGAGCCAUGACGCGUUCAAAAUAAGCCGGGUCUUUGCUUUAAGAGUUAUAAUUAUUCAUCUCCCGAGCAGGAGAGUGAAGUAG